rnacentral:rRNA from 1 species
GACGAACGCUGGCGGCGUGCCUAAUACAUGCAAGUUGAGCGCUGAAGGUUGGUACUUGUACCAACUGGAUGAGCAGCGAACGGGUGAGUAACGCGUGGGGAAUCUGCCUUUGAGCGGGGGACAACAUUUGGAAACGAAUGCUAAUACCGCAUAAAAACUUUAAACACAAGUUUUAAGUUUGAAAGAUGCAAUUGCAUCACUCAAAGAUGAUCCCGCGUUGUAUUAGCUAGUUGGUGAGGUAAAGGCUCACCAAGGCGAUGAUACAUAGCCGACCUGAGAGGGUGAUCGGCCACAUUGGGACUGAGACACGGCCCAAACUCCUACGGGAGGCAGCAGUAGGGAAUCUUCGGAAAUGGACGAAAGUCUGACCGAGCAACGCCGUGUGAGUGAAGAAGGUUUUCGGAUCGUAAAACUCUGUUGGUAGAGAAGAACGUUGGUGAGAGUGGAAAGCUCAUCAAGUGACGGUAACUACCCAGAAAGGGACGGCUAACUACGUG